rnacentral:rRNA from 1 species
GUCCAUGCCGUAAACGUUGGAUACUAGAUGUUUGGGGUUUUGUGCUUCAAGUGUCUAAGGGCAACCGAUAAGUAUCCCACCUGGGGAGUACGUUCGCAAGGAUGAAACUCAAAGGAAUUGACGGGGCCCGCACAAGCGGUGGAGCAUGUGGUUUAAUUCGAUGGUACGCGAGGAACCUUACCUGGGCUAGAAUGUUAGAGAAUAGUAGAGAGAUUUAUUAGUCAGCAAUGACUCGAAACAAGGUGCUGCAUGGCUGUCGU